ACUUUCGACACAUUAUAUAGUCAUCUUUCAUAGCUCGUAUGAUACGGCCAUUUCCCUUUUUCUUUUCAAAUUAUCGAUUCGAACAUUUUUUUGAACAAUUUGAAAAACGACACUUCUACGCGUCCAAUUAAGCUACGACAUCUGAAAUUUACAAUAGGGGUAAAAUACCAGUUAUCCAGAUGACAAUAACAGCCACGUAUCUAUAGUUGAGAUCGAUUAUUAUUUCGUCAUAGAUCCCUAGAAUAACACAACUAGGAAAUCAAAACGCUGGAUGGUCUUGACCAUGAGUGAACACUGCACUAAAGUAUUGUGCGAAAAUUUUUCCUAUAUACUGGUCCUCUUUCACCGGCCAAAUACCCUCUAGAAAGCCAAUAUGUCCACCUCGAGAUGUAACAAUCAUCGCAACAUUUACCUUCAAAUGGUUGAAACGGAUCGUCUGCUGCACUAAGGCAAAGCAAGGGAACUUCUAUUUGGUGCAGUUUAUCGUGAAGUGUUGCUUUUGAGUAAUAAUCGUCAACACUUUUGAACCCGAAAUGUCGAGAUGUAAAGUAAUCAUCGAAUUCUCGGACUGUUGUACUCUGCAAAUAUAUUAAAAUAUCAAAUAUCUACACUAGCAUUUAAAAUUUUGUCGACCAACAAUUGAAUUACACGCACUGUAAUGAGA